rnacentral:lncRNA from 1 species
GCUUAUUGCCUGUACUCAGAAAACAUGACUGUUGAAGCCCUUUGUUCAUUCAUUUGAAAGGGAUACUUUCUCAAAUUGAAAAGCUUUUGACAUCACCUAUGUGCGUCUCAAGUUCCACACCAGCCGCCCGGAGAGCUUUGCCAUUUACAAGCGCACACGGGAAGACGGGCCCUGGAUUCCUUACCAGUACUACAGUGGUUCCUGUGAGAACACCUACUCCAAGGCAAACCGCGGCUUCAUCAGGACAGGAGGGGACGAGCAGCAGGCCUUGUGUACUGAUGAAUUCAGUGACAUUUCUCCCCUCACUGGGGGCAACGUGGCCUUUUCUACCCUGGAAGGAAGGCCCAGCGCCUAUAACUUUGACAAUAGCCCUGUGCUGCAGGAAUGGGUAACUGCCACUGACAUCAGAGUAACUCUUAAUCGCCUGAACACUUUUGGAGAUGAAGUGUUUAACGAUCCCAAAGUUCUCAAGUCCUAUUAUUAUGCCAUCUCUGAUUUUGCUGUAGGUGGCAGAUGUAAAUGUAAUGGACACGCAAGCGAGUGUAUGAAGAACGAAUUUGAUAAGCUGGUGUGUAAUUGCAAACAUAACACAUAUGGAGUAGACUGUGAAAAGUGUCUUCCUUUCUUCAAUGACCGGCCGUGGAGGAGGGCAACUGC